rnacentral:rRNA from 1 species
UAAUACGGAGGGAGCUAGCGUUGUUCGGAAUUACUGGGCGUAAAGCGCGCGUAGGCGGCUUUGUAAGUUAGAGGUGAAAGCCCGGGGCUCAACCCCGGAACUGCCUUUAAGACUGCAUCGCUUGAAUCCGGGAGAGGUGAGUGGAAUUCCGAGUGUAGAGGUGAAAUUCGUAGAUAUUCGGAAG